AUUGAACGCUGGCGGCAGGCCUAACACAUGCAAGUCGAGCGGAGUGGCGACGGGUGAGUAAUGUCUAGGAUUCUGCCUGGUAGUGGUGGAUAACGUUCGGUAACGGGCGCUAAUACCGCAUCCUCACUUAUGUGACUAGGUGGGGUUAGCUAGUUGGUGGGGUAAAGGCCUACGAAGGCGACGAACCGUAACUGGUCUGAGAGGCUGACCUGUCACACUGGAAUGGAGACACGGUCCAGACUCCUACGGGAGGCAGCAGGGGGGAAUAUUGGACAAUGGGCGAAAGCCGGAUCCAGCCAUGCCGCGUGUGUGAAGAAGGUCUUCGGAUUGUAAAGCACUUUAAGUUGGGAGGCGUUACCAACAGAAUAAGCACCGGCUAACUUCGUGCCAGCCGCCGCGGUAAUAC
rnacentral:rRNA from 1 species